rnacentral:lncRNA from 1 species
AAACCACGUUCAAACCUAUAAUAAAUUAUAAAAACUAUAACACAUAAUUGCCCAUAGGUUUCGGCCAUUACGGCCUUCUUCAUUGGAAUACAUCACAACAUUAUAUAUUUACAACAAGUCUAAAAGGGUACAAGAUCACCAUAUAAUAAAUAACAAUAAAAUGAACCAAUGUUAAAAAUUUCUGAUAAAAGAUAUCCUUCAUCAGAAGGAGCACAAUAUAAAAUGAAUCAGAUCAAUCUAUUCUGAUUAUUAAAAUAUAUAUAUAUAAGCAAUUAUCUUGAAUUCUCUACAAUAAAAAAUUGAAACAGUUUCACUCGAACAACGCUAGUACAAUUAAAAACGACUGAUCGAUUUAACCUGGUAAAAUAUGUCAAACAGAGGCUUUUAUCCUAAGCAAUCAGGUUUGAACGAAAGAAAAAAAAAGUUUAUUCUAUAGCUUUUAGAUUAUAUAUCUGAUUUAUAUACUGCCACAAAUUAAAUGUCAAUGAGUGCUCACCUUUCAUAUGUACAAAUAAACAUGAAAUUGAGGAUACUACCGAACUUAAAAAAUCACUUUAAAUUUGGAAAAACAAAAA